rnacentral:rRNA from 1 species
GAUGAACGCUGGCGGCGUGCCUAAUACAUGCAAGUCGAGCGAACAGAUGAGGAGCUUGCUCCUCUGACGUUAGCGGCGGACGGGUGAGUAACACGUGGAUAACCUACCUAUAAGACUGGGAUAACUUCGGGAAACCGGAGCUAAUACCGGAUAAUAUAUUGAACCGCAUGGUUCAAUAGUGAAAGACGGUUUUGCUGUCACUUAUAGAUGGAUCCGCGCCGCAUUAGCUAGUUGGUAAGGUAACGGCUUACCAAGGCGACGAUGCGUAGCCGACCUGAGGGGGUGAUCGGCCACACUGGAACUGAGACACGGUCCAGACUCCUACGGGAGGCAGCAGUAGGGAAUCUUCCGCAAUGGGCGAAAGCCUGACGGAGCAACGCCGCGUGAGUGAUGAAGGUCUUCGGAUCGUAAAACUCUGUUAUUAGGGAAGAACAAAUGUGUAAGUAACUAUGCACGUCUUGACGGUACCUAAUCAGAAAGCCACGGCUAACUACGUG